rnacentral:rRNA from 1 species
AGUGAACGCUGGCGGCGUGCUUAACACAUGCAAGUCGAGCGAGAACGGAAUAUAGCUUGCUAUAUUUGUCAGCUAAGUGGCGCACGGGUGAGUAAUGUAUAGAUAACCUGCCCUUAAGCAAGGAAUAACAGUUGGAAACGACUGCUAAUGCCACAUAUGCAUAUAAUACAUAAGUAUGAAAGGGAAACGCUUUAGUGCUUAAGGAUGUGUCUGUAUGGUAUCAGCUUGUUGGUGAGGUAAUGGCUCACGAAGGGUAUGACGCCUAAUUGGUUUGAGAGGAUGAUCAGUCACACUGGAACUGAGACACAGUCCAGACUCCUACGGGAGGCAGCAGUGGGGAAUAUUGCACAAUGGACGAAAGUCUGAUGCAGCAACGCCGCGUGGAGGAUGACACAUUUCGGUGCGUAAACUCCUUUUAUAUAGGAAGAUAAUGACGGUACUAUAUGAAUAAGCACCGGCUAACUCCGUGCCAGCAGCCGCAGUAAGAC